CUAGAGGAUACAUUUCCAGGGAGGGAUUGUUUACUCAAAUAGAGUUGCGUUGAUGGCCUCAACCCAUCCGAGGGGUGUCCUUAUCCAAGGCUUGGGACAUGGAUCGGAAGUAACAUUAAUUACGCAUAGAGAGAAGGUAUUGGUUGCUUCUCAUGGUUUGGCUGGCGAACUUUGGGAUCCAUCCAUAGACAUUUAUCUUCCUCGGUGGUAUUCUCUUAAUGAUAUUGAAGGGAAAUCACUUUGCAAAAGCUGUUUCAGUGAAAUCGCACGAAGCACAAGCCAUUUUUAGGUAGGAUGUAUCCAGAAGUUGAUUCAGUUAUUGACAAUCUUAAGAAAGCAGUUCAUAUUGCAAAGGGCAGAGGAGCCCAGGUUUGUGUUAUUAACCUGCACUUGCAUUCUGUAUGGACCUUAACAGUCAGGUCUUCUAUUAGCAUAUUUACCACUCUACAGGUAAUGGGAAACAAGGUGUUUGCCGUGAACUCAACUGUGCGCACAUCGAAGAAAUAUAGGAUCAUUCAAUUUAUUUAUCAUUUGGUCCAGUCUACCAAGUAGGGAGAGGGAAUAGCAUUUAUCGAUACAUACGGUGAGGCACUGGCACAUUUAACAUUUGCAGAUUCUGAUAUCAUAUUUGUUCUACCUUUGAUGAUACAGUGCUGCAAAUGGCGGUAUGCAAAACAAGUUUGUUUUCCAGUUUCUGUUAGCAAGCUAAGGCUCAAUUCAUAAGUGUGCCCGGGAUUCAGAAAAGUCAGUAUCAAACGAUUGUGAUAGAACAAGGGAACAAUCAAAACAGUCUAUAGCUGUUUCAGUAUCUUCACCUGCUGAGGUAGAUCAAAAUGAUAUAUGCGCACUAUGAACAGCACUCUCUCAUACAUUUAAGAUGGCAUACUCAUAUGUAAUAUCAAUUGAUAAACAUAUCAUCGAUGGCCAUUAUUUUUAUGUGCAUACAGUGGUUUAUUCCGCUUCUGCUAAUAUGCUCUUUGUGCAUAUUAUAAUCAUCUUACAUAAAGCACAAUGUUGCUGUCAUAUGUUUCCACCCACCGCUAUGUCUCUUUGCAGGCAUAUGAAGGCAAUAAAGUAUGGAUCUGCCCCCCAAUACAGAUAAAUUUUCCCAGUGAUGGUUACAGGAAGUCAAAAGGGCAUGGCUACAACAGAAGGUCAUUUUAUGGAUCAAUAAAAUCUGGCCGUCAUGCGCUACCAAAACUAGCAAUGUCUCAGUACAUCAUCUCUACAUUUUGAGCGAUGUCUUUUUCUCAAGCUCUUGAUGGCAUCAAGAAUGACCGUUCUUGGUGGGAUUUGCGCAUUAAGGAUGCGAUGGCAAAAGGUUUAGCAUGGAACGCUCAGUGCUAUGACAUACAUUGGGAAGCUUAUUUCUCUGCUAGGAAGCACUGUCAGAGAAGUUCAUGGGACACCAGUUCCCCAGUUGAAAAGGUGUUAUAUCUGGAGCACUGACUGGUGACGAGGCGACACCUACAGCAACCUUUGCCGUUUAGCCUAUGGCAGAACUUGUUUAACAAGAUCGCACCUGGCAGAGCCCUAGAUGACGACACAUGUCAAUACAAGAGUUUCUGCUGGUUAUUCUGAAAUUUUGGCAUGCAUACCUGAAAAGAGAAGUUUUGGCUUGUAAAUGAUGGCUGAGAGUGAGCCGAUUGUGUGACUGACGAGGCUACUCCCCCCUGCCACCUCCUGGGUUCAUCAACGCGAUCGGGGCAUGAUUUCUUCAGUGGCUUGUCUUCUUCGGCAUCAAGAUCCUGCACAUGCUUCACAUUCAAUCUGCGACUGUUUCCAUUGACGAGGUCUUGGGCAUUUUCAGGCGUCAUGUGUCUCAUGUAUUUCUCUGUUUGUUUGUUCAUGUUCUUUCCCUUGCGAACUGAUUUCUUCUGCCGUUCUGCGUCUUGUACCUCAUUGGCCGUUUAGGACUUUACCAGCUUAAAGCUGUGCCUAUGACCUUCUACCUAAGCAAAAUGCUAGUGAAGCAGUGGUUAACCGAA